UAACGCGUAGGUAACCUGCCUGGUAGCGGGGGAUAACUAUUGGAAACGAUAGCUAAUACCGCAUAAGAACAUUUACUGCAUGGUAGAUGUUUAAAAGGUUGCAAAUGCAUCACUACCAGAUGGACCCGCGUUGUAUUAGCUAGUAGGUGAGGUAACGGCUCACCUAGGCGACGAUACAUAGCCGACCUGAGAGGGUGAUCGGCCACACUGGGACUGAGACACGGCCCAG
rnacentral:rRNA from 1 species